UGUACGACGACGACAAAACUACAAAUGACCAAAUGAUCAGUUGGUGGUGUUGUAUUCGCAUAGGUAAACACACAAUCGUUUUACUUCGACGAGGGACGCGACUGUUUUUCUCCUAAUGGCGGCGGUUGAUAUGAAAACAACGUUAUUAUUUCACUCGAGGAAAACCGCACGCCAAAACACUAUACGUACGUGCGAGUGUUCACGAAGCCUCAUUAACGUUAUAUAGAGUAGUGUUUGAAAUGAUAACAUCUCGAAAAAUAAAUGUAGUCAUUAAACGUAUUUCCUACAAUACUAAUGAUCCGUCCGAUAAUCGGAGCGUAUUAAUUUACCACCAACAAAAAAACAAGAUGAAAUCAAAAUACUGAAAACAAAUUUUGAUUUGCAAAUAGCUUAGUCAGGUAACGUUAAAAAACUGCGACAAACAAGCUCAGAUCUACCUACGUCAGCAAGAGAAAAAAAUUGUCGAGUUCGAUUAAAGUAUUAUCAGUAUAUUGAAAUAAUAGUAAUGCAUAUCGCCGAGUUAAUUUUAAACAGCUCGUGACCUUUUCUAUGGCGGACAACCUAAUGUUCGAUUGAUAAUUAAUACUCCAGAAAUUAAUAAAUUUUCAACGUUGAAAAACUAUUGUGUUUAUGUACUCGCACGCACAAUGUAAUCAAACCUUAGAAACUGUUGGUAAAGAAAAUGCCAUACUUGUUCAACGUAGGGGGGGCACGAACAUUAUUAUCGCUCACUAACGUCGAUCAUUUAGUCUGAUAAGUAUUAUUUUUCAUGAUACACUUUAGUAUCAUAGCGUUAUCAGUUUUAAUUAUGAAACGCUCGUUGUGUUAUGCCUGUAUAGAAAUUUAUCGUCUUAUCCCAAGGCCACGGUAGUUUCUAAAAAAAUAUUAUUUACACUGUCGGGUGACAGCGAAUAAUAUUAUGACGUACUUUUAGAUCGGACCAUAUGCAUUAAUCGGUAUAGCAAAAACAAUGUGUUUUUUUCUAAACUUCAAAGAGUAUCAUAGGCCCGAAUAAGAACAAUAAAAAAAUAUAAUUAUUGCACACUGACCCGUUUCAACGAGUCCUCGCGACAGUUUUUACUUAUCACAUUGAUGUGUGACGCGUGUAAACCGUUUUAAUUGGUUACAACAAUAUAGUUGCCAGUAGAUGUUUUCGUGUGCCUUUAUUUUUCUACUGAAUUUCAGAAAACCGUCAGCAUUCAACCACAAGUAAACAACUUGGCUGUAACGAAAAUACACUUUUACUCUCAUUUUCCACUUUGACAGAUUUUCCAAUUAAUCGUUUUCAGAAAAUCGGUACUGCACACAGUUUUAUGUGGUUACCGUACUACCAGUUUGUCAGGUUCAAUGACCAGGUCGCACUAGCGAUUGUAAUUAGGUCAAUUUUCAUCGAAAACAAAAAAGUAAUAAAAAUUUGUUGCCGACAAUCAGCAGUUUGUAUAUCAUUAACGCCUUAAAAAACAAUAUAUCUCAAAACGAGUUGACAACUUAUCAACCCGACGACGACUCAUAGGCUCAUCAUCGUAGCCAUGUAGUGCACAAAACACAAAUCUUAUGCUGUCGUUUGUGAUCUUAUCGCAUCACAACGUUAAUGAAAAGUCAACACUAUUUUUAACUGGAAGGAAAGAAAAAUAAUAAACACAAAGCAUUUUUGUCAAAAUAUUAUUUUUUUAUUAAUUUCUCAAUUUUUUGCAUAGUUUUUUUGUUCAUAUACUACAACAUAACAAAAUAAGAAAAAAAACAUGACAAUUGCUAUGAAGUGAUAUGAAUGGCCGGGAGGGUGUGAGGUCGUGCCACAAUCAAUAGGGAGAGUAGUAUUUUGACAUUAACAAAAAAUAUAUAUAAAUAUAUAAACAAAAAUAUAUAAAUUCUCCAACGCUUUUACAAUAACGAGUGUUGAGCUCGAUACAAGCGCAGUUAUAUUAUUUUUAAUAUAAACACAAUUCAAAGGUAAACUUAACUUAAAAAAAAAAUACUGUUAAGAAUACACUUUACAGUGUCACUGAGAUCAGAAAACAUAAUAUAUUAUUAUAGCCAAAAACUCUAUUUUAUAUAUAAUAUAAUUUUACAAUAUAUAAUAUUAUUUUUCUUGUAAAGAAUUUAACUGUUAAAUUUUGUGAGUUAAAGACCGUCUUUUAUGUAAAAAAAUUCACACGCGCUUUAAUAAAAGCCUACAAAAUUUGAAAGUUAACAUUUAAGGAAAAAGUAAAAAUCCGUUAUCACAAUAUAUAGGUAUUUCACUAGCCUAAUUAAUAAAAAUUAUUUUUAAACAAAUAUAUUUUAAUGCUAAUUAUUAACAUUAUUUUUUUUUGACUGGUUGUUUAAUAAAAUAAAUAUAUAUAUAUAUAUAUUUGAAUCUGUGUAUUAUAAUAUAUUAUUUUUCAAUUAUGAAAUUCUAAAUAGAAUCUACCUCUACACUUUUCUCAUUAAUAAUUCAUAUUCAUAGGUAUAUUUUGUACAUAUAAACCCUACUGAAAUUCAUCACAACAAUUGUGAGACAAACACAGAAAAUACUUAAAGAAAAGAUUUUUCAUUCAAUAAUUUAUCACCGAAAUCUUAUUGAAAAUAUAUAAAAUGUUUUCAUUAAUGUGAUGUCAGUUAGGAACACUUACGCUAAGGUUAACUUUUUUUUUUUUCAUUUAAUUAUUAAUUAUAUCGAUUCAUAUAAUAUUUUAAUAAAUAUAAAUAAAUUUGAACGUGAAAGACAUCUUGGCAAAUUUCUAAAAAUACGCCUAUUUAAAUAAGGAUUUAUAUUUUUUGAAAUUAUAUCAAAAUUUUUUGGUGCGAUAUUUUAGCCUACAUAAAAGUUAAUAAUUGUUAAAACCUACCAACUAAGUAUUAUUUUUUCUUUUGUCUGGACACACUAAUAUUUUGAAUGAAAUUAGCAAUAUAUAUAUAUUUUUUUAGUUUUUUUUUUUUUUUUUUACAAUUUAUUUUAUGUAUUAUAUUUUCAGAUUUUUGUUAAAUCCUGUCCACUAUUAUGAUUUUCACUUAUAAAAAAAAGUACGUACGACUAUGUAAAAAAGAUUUUAACUGUACCUAAUUCAAAAUCGACUUAAAGAAACUACAAUCUACAAUAUCUAUCUGUGUACCUAAUAAUCUUAAUAUUUACGCUCUAUAAAUAUAUAUUUAUCAUUAUGUAUGUAUAUAACUAUAAAAAGCCGACAAAAAACAACGAUUUAUGGGUAAAAAAAAAAAAAGGAAA